rnacentral:rRNA from 1 species
UACGUAGGGUGCAAGCGUUAAUCGGAAUUACUGGGCGUAAAGCGUGCGCAGGCGGCUUUGCAAGACAGAUGUGAAAUCCCCGGGCUCAACCCUGGGAACUGCAUUUGUGACUGCAUGGCUAGAGUACGGUAGAGGGGGAUGGAAUUCCGCGUGUAGCAGUGAAAUGCGUAGAUAUGCGGAGGAACACCGAUGGCGAAGGCAAUCCCCUGGACCUGUACUGACGCUCAUGCACGAAAGCGUGGGGAGCAAACAGG